rnacentral:rRNA from 1 species
CCUACACUAUGCAUACGCCAUGUAGUGGAUGACUCGGCUGGGGAGCCGAUGAAGGGCGCGGUAAGCGGCGAAACGCUGUGGGAAGACGCAGACAGUCUACGAUCCACAGAUUCCCGAAUCGGAUUUCCGGUUACAGUCUAAUAAACUGUAACAGCCAGGAAUGGCGGGGAACGCAGGGAACCAAAACAUUCAAGUACCUGCAGGAAAAGAAAACAAUUGUGAUUCCGGUAGUAACGGCGAGUAAAACCGGAACAGGCCAAACCGAAUUCCUUUUUUGAAAAAUUAAGGUAGAUGUGGUGUUUUGACUACAACAUAUACCGUAAGCGUGAAGUUGAAGACCCCUGGAAAGGGGCGUCAUAGAGGGUAAUAACCCCGUAAACGUAAGCGCUCGGAUUAGUAGUAUCAAGACUAGCGUGGCUUGGAUUUGUCGCGCAAAUAUGGGAGUACUAACUCCCAAGCCUAAAUACUCCCCCAGACCGAUAGCGCACUAGUAACGUGAGUGAAAGUUGAAAAGUAUUCGAAAUACGAGAGUGAAAAGUUCCUGAAAUUACAUGGUAACAGACGUGGAUGGCUUGAAAGGGUAGAGUCUCGGUGAAGGAACCCAUCGUGAGGUGGUAGUACGAGCUGAGAGGACCAGAGUCAUCCGAUCCGUCUUGAAACACGGGCCGAGGAGUUUAUGUCUGUGGCAAGCCUAUGUUAAUACGGUGGCGUAGCGAAAGCAACCAGCGCGCAACUUCGGUGAGGCGCGACGUCCGAUAAGGGCGUGAAGUCACAGGUGUAAGACCCGAAAGCAGUUGAUCUAUCCCUGACCAAGGUGAAGCGCUUCGAAAGGAGCGUGGAGGCCUGAAGGGUUAUUGAUAUGCAAUUCAUUCCUCUGAGUUGGGGAUAGUGGCAAAAGACCAAUCUAAACUGCUGAUAGCUGGUUCCCCCCGAAGUAUCACCACAGGAUAGCGUCGCUGAAGGUAGCUUGUGAGGUAGAGCUACGGACGGGAGGUUCUGGGAAGUGAAAUUCUCACCCUCCCUUCCAACUCCGAACUUGCAAGCGCCGUAGAAGGCGACAGACGGGCGUGUAUCCGCAAGGGAUAUAGCCGAAAGGGGAACAACCCUACGAUGGGUUAAGGGCCCUAAAUCCCGGUUAAAUGUUAAACAGAAUGACGUCCAACGACGAAGACAAUGAGGCGGUAAGCUUAGAGGCAGCUAUCCGUUAAAAAAAGCGUAACAGCUUACUCAUCGAGUUGUUGGGCUCAGAAAAUGGACGGGGCUAAACCGGGUCCCGAUACCCAUCUGGACUUCGAAAGAGUCUCAGGUAGGGGGGCGAUCUGGCUGGGUAGAAGCUGGGGAGUGAUUCCCAGUGGACCGGUUAGAUUUGCAGAUCUCGGUGGUAGUAGGAGCAUAGUGAGGUGAGAAUCCUCACCGCUGAAAGCCCAAGGGUUCCUUGGCACUGUUCGUCAGCCAAGGGUUAGUCGGUCCUAAGGACGAUCUUAAAACGAGUCGUUCGAAAGGGAAACAGGUUCAUAUUCCUGUACCACGCGUAUAGACGCGGCGACGCAAGCUCUGAGCUAACGCUGGUGGGUAGGUGGCCUAGGAGAAUAUCCUAGUUAAAUUGUAGAAUUCUGGGAAGAACCGUUAAGGUGAGAACCAGAAGAAUAGAUGAAGAGGCUGGCCAUAGGUCGCUGGCUGCCAUCAACCCCAACAGCCCAUGAAAAGGCAAAGAGAACGAUUACGCGUGUCCGUACCCAGAACCGACACAGGUGUGGCUAGCUUAGAAGGCUAAAGCGUGUUAGGGUAGCUCGGGUGAAGGAAAUCGGCAAAUUAGUCCCGUACCUUGGGUAUAAGGGAUGCCUGGGAAGGUGUAUGCCUUACCAGGUCGCAGUGACUAGGGGCACCCGACUGUUUAAUAAAAACAUAGCUAACUGCAAGGGCGAAAGCCUUAGUACAGUUAGUGAAUCCUGGCCGGUGCUGGUGAUUGAAACCUGGGUUCAACCAGGCUAAGACCCAGUAAACGCCGGAGCUAACUAUGAGCUUCUUAAGGUAGGCAAAUGCCUUGUCUGCUAAUUACAGACGUCCAUGAAGGGACCAACGAGGUGCCCACUGUCUCCACCCGAAGCCUACUGAACCCACAGUCCAGCGAACAGUCUGGAGCGCACCAUCGGGAAGAGAAGACCCUGUGAAGCUUUACUGCUGUCAGGGGCUGUUGUACUGGUGUGCAUGCAUAGCAUAGUCAGGAGAUGCUAAUCCUACAUUCUCCGGGAUGUAGGGGAGUCGAACUUGAAAUACUGACCUUGUGCAUUGGUACGACUUACCUCUUGCGAGGGGGACACCCCCUGCCUGGCAGUUUCACUGGGGCGGUAGCCUCUUGAAAAGAUAUCAAGAGGGCCCAAAGCCGAGCUCAACCGGGACAGAAAUCCGGUGUAGAGUGCAAGGGCAAAAGCUCGGUUGACUGUGAACUCCCAAACACGGUUCGCAGAUGUUAACGCAGGGCCUAGCGAUCCUUCGCAGUGCCAUUAGUAGGCGGCGGAGGUGGCAGAAAAGUUACUCCAGGGGUAACUGCGUUUCUGAAUGUUUAUCACGCAGAAAUGUAUUAUCACAAAGAGUGCUCUCUGUCUGUAACGCUUAUUGAAAAAGAUGUCCAUCUUUUCCGAGGCAGAAAAGUAAAAUAAAGUGAAUCAAAAACAAAAAUUAUAGCUUCAGUCUUUCUUCCAAGUGAGGAAACAAAAGUUUUCGCCAUAAAAGGCUACAAAACUUGAGCAGAGUGAAUCUAAUUUCUGUCACAAAUCCAUUUAGAAUAGAUAAAUCCCUAAAUAUAUAAACAAAAGAUGGAGAGCCAAAAAAUAAGCGUGAGGACAUGAAGAUAAGGUUAAGGAUACUGUAACUACCUAGUCGUAAUACCAGGUGACAACUAAUCCUUAAAGCCGAUGUGCGCGCAUUAGCGCAAACGCAGCCCUGAACGGAGUUGUCGUGGGUAAGAGUUCACAUCGACCUCACGGCUUGCUACCUCGAUGUCGGCUCUUCCUAGCUUGGUGGUGAUUCAGCCGCCAAGAGUGGGGUUGUUCGCCCAUUAAAAGGGAACGUGAGCUGGGUUUAGACCGUUGUGAGAUGGAUUUAAGCUAUAGUGGAGUUUUGUGGAAGUAUAUCAGUAAUAGAU